UACGGGGGGAGCAAGCGUUGUUCGGAUUUACUGGGCGUAAAGGGCGCGUAGGCGGCCACUGCAAGUCGGUUGUGAAAUCUCCGGGCUUAACUCGGAAAGGUCAAUCGAUACUGCAGGGCUAGAGUGCAGAAGGGGCAACUGGAAUUCUCGGUGUAGCGGUGAAAUGCGUAGAUAUCGAGAGGAACACCUGCGGCGAAGGCGGGUUGCUGGGCUGACACUGACGCUGAAGCGCGAAAGCCAGGGGAGCAAACGGG
rnacentral:rRNA from 1 species